UUCACGCUUCCUCUAAUGCUCCAUAUUUGCGCGUCAAAUUGACUGUGAGCUAUGUUUAUGAGAUUAUCAUAUCACAGCCAUUUUGACGAGUUUGAUGUGGCAGCCACCAACUGCAAACAGCU
rnacentral:precursor_RNA from 15 species